UACAGAGGGUGCGAGCGUUGUCCGGAAUCACUGGGCGUAAAGGGCGCGUAGGCGGUCUGCUAAGCGUGUGGUGAAAGCUCGGGGCUCAACCCCGAGUCGGCCGUGCGAACUGGUGGACUGGAGCAUGUCAGAGGCAGGCGGAAUUCCGGGUGUAGCGGUGGAAUGCGUAGAGAUCCUGAAGAACCCCAGAGGCGAAGGCGGCGCCCUGGCUCGCAACUGACGCUCAGACACGACAGCAUGGGGAGCGAACGGG
rnacentral:rRNA from 1 species